rnacentral:rRNA from 1 species
UACGUAGGGGGCAAGCGUUGUCCGGAAUCAUUGGGCGUAAAGCGCGUGUAGGCGGUCCGAUAAGUCGGUUGUGAAAGUCAGGGGCUCAACCCUUGGAAGCCGGCCGAUACUGUCGGACUAGAGUCCGGAAGAGGCGAGUGGAAUUCCCGGUGUAGCGGUGAAAUGCGCAGAUAUCGGGAGGAACACCAAUGGCGAAGGCAGCUCGCUGGGACGGUACUGACGCUGAGGAGCAAAAGCGUGGGGAGCGAACAGG